GAAACGCGAUAGUUAAUGUGAAUUGCGGAAUUCAGUGAAUCAUCGAGUCUUUGAACGCACAUUGCGCCCAUAGGUAUUCCUUUGGGCAUGUCUGUUUGAGCGUCAUUACAACCCUCAGCUAACCGCUGGUUUUGAACCUGAACGGGUGACACCGCGCCGGUUUUAAAGUUGUAAGCUCUGCUGGCCGCUCUGCCCAACCAGAACAUAGUAAGCACUACUUGUCCGGGUGAAGCUGAACGGUACGGCCUGAACAAAACCUACCCACUCUCAAGGUUUGACCUCAGAUCAGACAAGGAUACCCGCUGAACUUAGGC
rnacentral:misc_RNA from 1 species